UACGUAGGGUGCAAGCGUUUAAUCGGAAUUACUAGGCGUAAAGCGUGCGCAGGCGGUUUUGUAAGUCUGUCGUGAAAUCCCCCGGGCUCAACCUGGGAAUUGCGAUGGAGACUGCAAGGCUAGAAUCUGGCAGAGGGGGGGUAGAAUUCCACGUGUAGCAGUGAAAUGCGUAGAGAUGUGGAGGAACACCGAUGGCGAAGGCAGCCCCCCUGGGUCAAGAUUGACGCUCAUGCACGAAAGCGUGGGGAGCAAACAGG
rnacentral:rRNA from 1 species